GAAGAAUUCAUAAUAUAUUGCUUUCUUAGUGAAUUACUAGACUGUUAGACUGUAUUUCGUUGGUUUGUUAAAUUAUUUUUCUGUAAAUCUGAAAUUUUUGUUCCUAUGGAAAUUUACAUUGUUUAUUGGUUGUAUAGGUUUUGCGAAUUUCGAGCUUCAUUGUUAGAAUUGGAUCUCCAUUACAUGUGACAAAAUGAGGCCCUUGAAACAUCCUGAAUAAUGGGAAUUUUCUUUGAUUCUUAUACUGUUUGUAGGAUUGGAUAUAGCAUGAUUGC
rnacentral:misc_RNA from 1 species